AACGAACGCUGGCGGCAGGCUUAACACAUGCAAGUCGAACGCCCCGCAAGGGGAGUGUCAGACGGGUGAGUAACGCGUGGGAAUCUACCUUUUGCUACGUGAUAGCUCCGGGAAACUGGGAUUAAUACCGUAUGUGCCCUCCGGGGGAAAUAUUUAUCGGCAAAGGAUGAGCCCGCGUUGGAUUAGCUAGUUGGUGGGGUAAAGGCCUACCAAGGCGACGAUCCAUAGCUGGGCUGAGAGGAUGAUCCGCCACAUUGGGACUGGGACACGGCACAAACUCAUCAGGGCGGAAGCAGUGGGGAAUAUUGGACAAUGGGCGCAAGCCUGAUCCAGCAAUGCCGCGUGAGUGAUGAAGGUCUUAGGAUUGUAAAGCUCUUUCACCGGGGACGAUAAUGACGGUACCCGGAGAAGAAGCCCCGGCUAACUUCGUGCCAGCAGCCGCCGUAA
rnacentral:rRNA from 1 species